rnacentral:rRNA from 1 species
UACAGAGGUCUCAAGCGUUGUUCGGAUUCAUUGGGCGUAAAGGGUGCGUAGGCGGCUUUGUAAGUUAGAGGUGAAAGCCCGGGGCUCAACUCCGGAACUGCCUUUAAGACUGCAUCGCUAGAAUCCAGGAGAGGUGAGUGGAAUUCCGAGUGUAGAGGUGAAAUUCGUAGAUAUGGGGAGGAACACCGGUGGCGAAGGCGGCCAUCUGGACGGAUACUGACGCUGAGACGCGAAAGCGUGGGUAGCAAACAGG